GAGAUCAAAUUUCUCACUUCUCUCCUUUGCUAAACCCUAAUCUCAUUUCCACGAAAAACAUCUGCCCCUCUCCCUAUCUUCUCUCUCUUCCCUCUCUCUAUACUUCCUCUCUCUCUCAAACCAAAACAGCCGAUGCCACCUUUACUGGCGACCACCAUUAAGAUGCUUUUCUCCUUCCCGAGGUUUUCCUCCGCUGCACAAAAGCCAUACAGCCGCCACAGCCAUCAACACCAGUCGUCGCCGCCGGCGGACUCAACAAUUUCGUCCAAUCACCAAGGUAAACUAUUUCUAUCUCCAUCUCGCUUCAUUUUCAUGUAAUUCUAUUUGAUAUUAUUUGUUCAUGUGUUGGUUUUAUACUUGGAUCGAUUUAGUUAUGUGUAUGGUCAAAAGCCUAUACUUGGUUUUAUACAAAAGCUAGUCACUAGUAUUAAACUAUUUUUGUGGUAGACAUUGAACCCGUGAAUAUUCAACACAGGAGCUUCCUUUAAUAAGCCAAUAGUAGUAAUGACUGAACCCUGCAACCACCAAAACAAGUAAAACAUUUAGCGAAGUUCUGGAAACGUUGGAGCUUAAAAUGUUAUUAGCAAACUUUUGGAAGCAAAAGUAAUUUAAUGGUCAGAGGACAAGCAUUAUAUGUAUCUAAUCCAGUUAGGAGACAACUUUGAGAAAAAGGAAAUAAACAUGCCACAGUAUGGAGCACUUAGAAUAUAGUGAUAACUCAAAAUUUGAACAGUUCAAGAAUUUCCUCAAAUGUCUUGGCCUCUAAACCCCAGAUCAAGCUACUCUCUCUAUCAAAAAAUUAUAAAGCAUUGUAGAUAGGAAAGUUGAUCCUUUAGCCAACAUUCUGUACAUCCUUUAAACAGACUUGGUCCUCUUAGUCAAUAAAAUUUCAUCAACUAUCAAAAAAUUUUGAGUACAAUUUUAAUGUCACCUGUGCAAAAAGUGUCAGACUAUAAUCAGGCAUAUGAUGGUCAUGCAAAUAAAGAACAAAGAAAAGUUCAGAUCCAUCUAAUCAAUGUGAAAAGAUGUUGCAAAAGCACUUCCUUCCCAAAACACUUUCUGACUUCCAAAAUUCCAAUAAUGUUUGACACACUUCAAAUAAUAUUUUUCCCUUGAUAUCCAAAAUUGCUUUAUAUAGCUGUCUGUGACCAUUAAUAUCCAAAAUUAAAUGGCUUGCUCUACUUAAACCCAUAUCGUGUGGGGUUGUGAAGCAGGGUCAACUAAUAUGAACUUUGUAGUUUCAAUUACUUUGCAUAUGAAAGUAUAUUCGCAUCGCACCUGCAUUUUUUUACUUCCUCAAUCCUAGAUUGUAUUACUAUUUCGUAUAAGAUCAUAACUUAAGUUUUGAUAGAAUAUGCAUUUCGGUGAAUGGAAUGUCCCCCGUUAUUGAAUGGGUAGAAUCUUGGACUCCUUGUAAGGCCUGAGCAAUGUCUUUCCUCUUAGCUAACUUUUGGGGUGUGAGUUAGGUUUAAAGCCUAAUUUGAAAUGUUAUUAAAGGUAGGCCUGAUAUGGUCCCUUACAUUUGGGGAUUUGGGGAGUGAGUGAAAUCUUGAGAUUCUUAAAGGUGAGCUUUUGUUUUGAAUUUAGUUUAGUUUGACAACUUGUGAAGUGAAUUAGUGACUUGAAAUGUUUAAGUGUAGGUACUUGAAAGGUGAACUUUUGUUUUAAAUUUAGUAAGGCACAUGGUCACUUUAGAAAUGAAUUAGUGACUUCGAUUUGUUUAAGUGUAGGUACUUCAAAUGUGAACUUGUGUUUUGAAUUUAGUUUAGUUUGGUAACUUAUGAACUGAAUUAGUGACUUAAAAUGUUUAAGUGUAGAUACUUGAAAGGUGAAGUUUUGUUUUGAAUUUAGUAAGGCACAUGGUCACUUGAGAAGUGAAUCAGUGACUUUGAUUUGUAUAAGUGUAGAUAAUUGAAAUGUGAACUUGUGUUUUGAAUUUAGUUUAGUUUGGUAACUUGUGAAGUGAAUUAGUGACUUGAAAAUAUUUAAAUUAGGUACUUGAAAUGUGAAAUUUUGUUUUGAAUUUAGUUUAGUUUGGUAACCUGUAAAGUGAAUGAGUGACUUCAAAAUGUUUAAGUGUAGGUAUUUGAAAUGUGAACUUUUAUGUUGAAUUUAGUUUAGUUUGGUAACUUGUGAAGUGAAUUAGUGACUUGAAAAUAUUUAAAUUAGGUACUUGAAAUGUGAAAUUUUGUUUUGAAUUUAGUUUAGUUUGGUAACCUGUAAAGUGAAUGAGUGACUUCAAAAUGUUUAAGUGUAGGUAUUUGAAAUGUGAACUUUUAUGUUGAAUUUAGUUUAGUUUGGUAACUUGUGAAGUGAAUUAGCGACUUGAAGUGAAAAUAGAAAAAGCGACCACAUGUGGUCGAUUUUUGUGGUCGCUUUUCUUGUUUUUUCUAUUAGUGGUAGUUACUUGAAAAUAUGGUUAAGUAUAGUGACUUGAAACGUGUACUAGUAACUUGAAAAUUGUUAAAGUGUAGUUACUUGAAAUUUGAAUUAGUUACUUGAAAGUGGUUAAGUAUAAAUACUUGAAAAUGGUUAAGUAUAAUUACUUGAAAUGUGAAUUAAUUAUUUGAAAAUGGUUAAGUAUAGUGAUUUGAAAUAUGUACUAGUGAAUUGAAAAUGGUUAAGUAUAGUGACUUGAAAUAUGAAUUAGUUACUUGAAAAUGGUCAAGUGUAGUGAUUUGAAAUGUGUACUAGUGACUUGAAAAUGGUUAAGUAUAGUUACUUGAAAAUGGUAAUAUAUACAUAUUUAUAUUUGUUGAUUGUUAUGACUUUAUUUGAUACUAUAAUAUCGUAUAAUUUAUGCUAAUAAUGUAACUUUUUGCACUUUUUAUGACCUGAAUUAACAUAUUCUUAUGCAGAAUGAGUUUGAAAGAAAAAAAUAAGAAAUAUUAGUUGCUCAAAGUGCAUCAAUUAUGGAAGGAGGGUGAGAAAGGAAUUAGACUUGUUGAUGAAGCAUGUACACCAAAAAUCAUCUGCAAAUGAUGAACACCCAUCGCAAGAAGCCAACCAAGCUUAUGAGGAUGAAAGUGAUGGUGACUCUGACGAUGUGAAUGAAAUUGAUAAUCCUAAUAACGUGAAUGAAAGUGAUCUGAUCCUGGUGGUUGGUAGUUUUAUUGAGGAUUCAAGUUUAAAAUAUUUUGUUUUGGACCAUUUAAGAAUUAUACAUUAUUGAUGUGGAUGUUUUGAAUUAUGUUUUUUUUGUUAGUUGUAAGGGUUUACAUUAGAUUUGUAUUGAAUGAUGUUUUUGAGAAUUAUUGAAGGUUUUGAAUAGAUUUUUGAUUAAUUGUGAAAUGUUUUAAGUAAUUUACGUGUGAAUUAUUAUUUGAAAAUUUUUAUGGGGAUGUACAU
rnacentral:lncRNA from 1 species